rnacentral:rRNA from 1 species
UACUGACGUUUAGGCUCGAAAGUGCGGGUAUCAAACAGGAUUAGAUACCCUGGUAGUCCGCACAGUAAACGAUGGACACUCGCUGUCGGCGACAGACAGUCGGCGGCCUAGCGAAAGCGUUAAGUGUCCCACCUGGGGAGUACGCCGGCAACGGUGAAACUCAAAGGAAUUGACGGGGGCCCGCACAAGCGGAGGAACAUGUGGUUUAAUUCGAUGAUACGCGAGGAACCUUACCCGGGCUUGAACUGCAUAUGACAUAUUGAGAGAUCAUUAUUCCCUUCGGGGCAUAUGUGGAGGUGCUGCAUGGUUGUCGUCAGCUCGUGCCGUGAGGUGUCGGCUUAAGUGCCAUAACGAGCGCAACCCCUUCCUUCAGUUGCCAUCGGGUUAUGCCGGGCACUCUGUAGGGACUGCCGCCGUAAGGUGUGAGGAAGGCGGGGAUGACGUCAAAUCAGCACGGCCCUUACGUCCGGGGCUACACACGUGUUACAAUGGGGGGUACAGCGGGAUGCCACCGCGCAAGCGGGCGCCGAUCCUGAAAUCCCUCCGUAGUUCGGAUUGGGGUCUGCAACCCGACCCCAUGAAGCUGGAUUCGCUAGUAAUC